rfam:Brachypodium distachyon strain Bd21 chromosome 1, whole genome shotgun sequence.
UUCCUACUUCUCCGUCCAACAAAAAAUGUUUAAAGUUUGUCAAAAUUUGGAUGUAUCAACACAUGACUUAGUGUAUAGAUACAUUCAAAUUUAUUUAAAAUUGAGACAUUCUUCGUUGGACGGAGAAAGUACCAA